rnacentral:rRNA from 1 species
GCAAGUCGAACGGUAACAGCAGAGCUUGCCCUGGCUGACGAGUGGCGGACGGGUGAGUAAUAUAUAGGAAUCUGCCUAGUAGUGGGGGACAACGUAUGGAAACGUACGCUAAUACCGCAUACGCCCUUCGGGGGAAAACGGGGGACCUUCGGGCCUCGUGCUAUUAGAUGAGCCUAUAUCCAAUUAGCUAGUUGGCGAGGUAAGAGCCCACCAAGGCGGCGAUUGGUAGCUGGUUUGAGAGGAUGAUC